GGGUUGUGAGGUUAAGCGACUAAGCGUACACGGUGGAUGCCCUGGCAGUCAGAGGCGAUGAAGGACGUGCUAAUCUGCGAUAAGCGUCGGUAAGGUGAUAUGAACCGUUAUAACCGGCGAUUUCCGAAUGGGGAAACCCAGUGUGUUUCGACACACUAUCAUUAACUGAAUCCAUAGGUUAAUGAGGCGAACCGGGGGAACUGAAACAUCUAAGUACCCCGAGGAAAAGAAAUCAACCGAGAUUCCCCCAGUAGCGGCGAGCGAACGGGGAGCAGCCCAGAGCCUGAAUCAGUGUGUGUGUUAGUGGAAGCGUCUGGAAAGGCGCGCGAUACAGGGUGACAGCCCCGUACACAAAAAUGCACAUGCUGUGAGCUCGAUGAGUAGGGCGGGACACGUGGUAUCCUGUCUGAAUAUGGGGGACCAUCCUCCAAGGCUAAAUACUCCUGACUGACCGAUAGUGAACCAGUACCGUGAGGGAAAGGCGAAAAGAACCCCGGCGAGGGGAGUGAAAAAGAACCUGAAACCGUGUACGUACAAGCAGUGGGAGCACGCUUAGGCGUGUGACUGCGUACCUUUUGUAUAAUGGGUCAGCGACUUAUAUUCUGUAGCAAGGUUAACCGAAUAGGGGAGCCGAAGGGAAACCGAGUCUUAACUGGGCGUUAAGUUGCAGGGUAUAGACCCGAAACCCGGUGAUCUAGCCAUGGGCAGGUUGAAGGUUGGGUAACACUAACUGGAGGACCGAACCGACUAAUGUUGAAAAAUUAGCGGAUGACUUGUGGCUGGGGGUGAAAGGCCAAUCAAACCGGGAGAUAGCUGGUUCUCCCCGAAAGCUAUUUAGGUAGCGCCUCGUGAAUUCAUCUCCGGGGGUAGAGCACUGUUUCGGCAAGGGGUCAUCCCGACUUACCAACCCGAUGCAAACUGCGAAUACCGGAGAAUGUUAUCACGGGAGACACACGGCGGGUGCUAACGUCCGUCGUGAAGAGGGAAACAACCCAGACCGCCAGCUAAGGUCCCAAAGUCAUGGUUAAGUGGGAAACGAUGUGGGAAGGCCCAGACAGCCAGGAUGUUGGCUUAGAAGCAGCCAUCAUUUAAAGAAAGCGUAAUAGCUCACUGGUCGAGUCGGCCUGCGCGGAAGAUGUAACGGGGCUAAACCAUGCACCGAAGCUGCGGCAGCGACGCUUAUGCGUUGUUGGGUAGGGGAGCGUUCUGUAAGCCUGUGAAGGUGUGCUGUGAGGCAUGCUGGAGGUAUCAGAAGUGCGAAUGCUGACAUAAGUAACGAUAAAGCGGGUGAAAAGCCCGCUCGCCGGAAGACCAAGGGUUCCUGUCCAACGUUAAUCGGGGCAGGGUGAGUCGACCCCUAAGGCGAGGCCGAAAGGCGUAGUCGAUGGGAAACAGGUUAAUAUUCCUGUACUUGGUGUUACUGCGAAGGGGGACGGAGAAGGCUAUGUUGGCCGGGCGACGGUUGUCCCGGUUUAAGCGUGUAGGCUGGUUUUCCAGGCAAAUCCGGAAAAUCAAGGCUGAGGCGUGAUGACGAGGCACUACGGUGCUGAAGCAACAAAUGCCCUGCUUCCAGGAAAAGCCUCUAAGCAUCAGGUAACAUCAAAUCGUACCCCAAACCGACACAGGUGGUCAGGUAGAGAAUACCAAGGCGCUUGAGAGAACUCGGGUGAAGGAACUAGGCAAAAUGGUGCCGUAACUUCGGGAGAAGGCACGCUGAUAUGUAGGUGAAGUCCCUCGCGGAUGGAGCUGAAAUCAGUCGAAGAUACCAGCUGGCUGCAACUGUUUAUUAAAAACACAGCACUGUGCAAACACGAAAGUGGACGUAUACGGUGUGACGCCUGCCCGGUGCCGGAAGGUUAAUUGAUGGGGUUAGCCGCAAGGCGAAGCUCUUGAUCGAAGCCCCGGUAAACGGCGGCCGUAACUAUAACGGUCCUAAGGUAGCGAAAUUCCUUGUCGGGUAAGUUCCGACCUGCACGAAUGGCGUAAUGAUGGCCAGGCUGUCUCCACCCGAGACUCAGUGAAAUUGAACUCGCUGUGAAGAUGCAGUGUACCCGCGGCAAGACGGAAAGACCCCGUGAACCUUUACUAUAGCUUGACACUGAACAUUGAGCCUUGAUGUGUAGGAUAGGUGGGAGGCUUAGAAGUGUGGACGCCAGUCUGCAUGGAGCCGACCUUGAAAUACCACCCUUUAAUGUUUGAUGUUCUAACGUUGACCCGUAAUCCGGGUUGCGGACAGUGUCUGGUGGGUAGUUUGACUGGGGCGGUCUCCUCCUAAAGAGUAACGGAGGAGCACGAAGGUUGGCUAAUCCUGGUCGGACAUCAGGAGGUUAGUGCAAUGGCAUAAGCCAGCUUGACUGCGAGCGUGACGGCGCGAGCAGGUGCGAAAGCAGGUCAUAGUGAUCCGGUGGUUCUGAAUGGAAGGGCCAUCGCUCAACGGAUAAAAGGUACUCCGGGGAUAACAGGCUGAUACCGCCCAAGAGUUCAUAUCGACGGCGGUGUUUGGCACCUCGAUGUCGGCUCAUCACAUCCUGGGGCUGAAGUAGGUCCCAAGGGUAUGGCUGUUCGCCAUUUAAAGUGGUACGCGAGCUGGGUUUAGAACGUCGUGAGACAGUUCGGUCCCUAUCUGCCGUGGGCGCUGGAGAACUGAGGGGGGCUGCUCCUAGUACGAGAGGACCGGAGUGGACGCAUCACUGGUGUUCGGGUUGUCAUGCCAAUGGCACUGCCCGGUAGCUAAAUGCGGAAGAGAUAAGUGCUGAAAGCAUCUAAGCACGAAACUUGCCCCGAGAUGAGUUCUCCCUGACUCCUUGAGAGUCCUGAAGGAACGUUGAAGACGACGACGUUGAUAGGCCGGGUGUGUAAGCGCAGCGAUGCGUUGAGCUAACCGGUACUAAUGAACCGUGAGGCUUAACCUUACAACGCCGAAGGUGUUU
rnacentral:rRNA from 1 species